rnacentral:rRNA from 1 species
UACGGAGGGAGCUAGCGUUGUUCGGAAUUACUGGGCGUAAAGCGUACGUAGGCGGUUAUUCCAGUCAGAGGUGAAAGCCUGGAGCUCAACUCCAGAACUGCCUUUGAAACUAGAUAGCUAGAAUCUUGGAGAGGUGAGUGGAAUUCCGAGUGUAGAGGUGAAAUUCGUAGAUAUUCGGGAGAACACCAGUGGCGAAGGCGACUCACUGGACAAGUAUUGACGCUGAGGUACGAAAGCGUGGGGAGCAAACAGA